GUCCUAGCCGUAAACACUGUGAGCAAGAUAAGACGUAAACCUAGAGUUUGCGUUGUAUCGAAAUGAAGAUGAAAGCUCACCACCUGGGAAGUAUAGUCGCAAGGCCGAAACUUAAAGGAAUUGGCGGGGGAGCACUACAAGGGGUGCGGCGUGCGGUUUAAUUGAAUUCAACGCCGGAAAUCUCACCAGAAGCGACGGCAGGAUGAAGGCCAGUCUAAAGGGCUUGCCUGACGAGCCGAUAGGUAUUGCAUGGCCGCCGU
rnacentral:rRNA from 1 species